rnacentral:rRNA from 1 species
CACGUAGGGCGCAAGCGUUGUCCGGAAUUACUGGGCGUAAAGCGUGCGCAGGCGGCUCCUUAAGUCAGAUGUGAAAUCCCCGGGCUUAACCUGGGAACUGCGUUUGAAACUGGGGAGCUGGAGUGUAGAAGAGGGGGGUGGAAUUCCAGGUGUAGCAGUGAAAUGCGUAGAGAUCUGGAGGAACACCGAUGGCGAAGGCAGCCCCCUGGGCUAACACUGACGCUCAUGCACGAAAGCGUGGGGAGCAAACAGG